rnacentral:ncRNA from 1 species
ACAUCCGGGGAGCUUAAGAGAUAGGCUGAGAAACGGCUGGACUGCCGUGACCCGCAACCUGAUUUGGGUAAUGCCAACGUAGGGAGUAAG